AAAGGAAACGUCACGGGUUGAAUGUCUUAUUUCAUCGUAAAUAUAAAAAACUAGUAAAUUAAUAAAAUUAAUUAAAAUUAUGAUUAAAUUAAUGUAAAAAUUAUUGUAUAGUUAUGAUUAGUAGUAAGAUUAUCAGGAAGAAAAAGAUGUUACAAUAUAUACGGUGUGAACGAGUAAAUUAACAAAUGAACGAAUCUCGCAGUAAUUGGGCGAAGAGUGUAUCCAAGAGGGCUAUUGUCAGCCGCGUCUAACGUCAGAAGCAAUUUAGAAGGAAAAUGAGAGGGCGCGCACAAAAACCGACGGACCUCUUUACCUCGUCAAGAACACGAAAAAUAGAGAGGGAGAAAGAAAGGACGCGGUGAUCGAGGCGGAAAGGGGCGCACUACUGGAAUUGCAACUGCCGCGCGACCCUUCCGAUGAUCGAGUAUCCGGCGACCUGACCGUCCCUCUCCGGCGUGGUCUCUCUUUCUCUCUUUUUCUCUCGUUCCUCUCUCUCUCUUUUUCAUUCGCAGACGGCGCAGAACGAGCUCAUCUCAUGCCGGACACGAAACUCGCCGAGUCGUGUAAUGGCGGACACGCGAGGUGCGAGAACAAUGCGCGGAUUUUUGGCAGCGAGAGAAAUUACGAGGCGCGACCUCGCCACGUUCUCGCCUCGGCCAACCCUUAGGGUCAUCCAUCCGGACCGGAUCAUCAUUCGGCACAUGUCUAACGCGCGCGUUACGUGCCGAUGUCGCAGGAUAGCGAACGCAAAUGGAAACGGAGGGGAUCAUACAUACGCCUUCGCUUAUGUCACGUAGCCCGAUAAACUGGAGAGUACGCUACGAAGUAAUUUAACCUCCGACUACUAUGCGGUCGCAAUUUGAAAGAGACGUAACUACUUCCUCAUGAGGUCAGUUUGACGUCGAUCGUAAAUGGCGUCACGUUUCACAUACGGCGGAACGUACGAUCGUCACGGAAGAUAAUAAAAUGUUGAAAAAAUAAUGAAAGUACGAUCGCACGGAAGAUUAUGAAAUGCUGUAAAAAUAACGACGACGUAUACAUAUAUAUAACGCAUUUUGCUUUAGUAUAA